rnacentral:rRNA from 1 species
AACGAACGCUGGCGGCAGGCCUAACACAUGCAAGUCGAGCGAGCAUUUCGGUGCUAGCGGCGGACGGGUGAGUAACGCGUGGGAACGUGCCCUUUUCUGCGGAAUAGUCCUGGGAAAUUGGGGGUAAUACCGCAUACGCCCUCUUGGGGAAAGAUUUAUCGGAGAAGGAUCGGCCCGCGUUGGAUUAGGUAGUUGGUGGGGUUAUGGCCCACCAAGCCGACGAUCCAUAGCUGGUCUGAGAGGAUGAUCAGCCACACUGGGACUGAGACACGGCCCAGACUCCUACGAGAGGCAGCAGUGGGGAAUCUUAGACAAGGGGGGCAACCCUGAUCUAGCCAUGCCGCGUGAGUGAUGAAGGCCUUAGGGUUGUAAUGCUCUUUCAGCUGGGAAGAUAAUGACGGUACCAGCAGAAGAAGCCCCGGCUAACUCCGUG